rnacentral:rRNA from 1 species
AGCGAACGCUGGCGGCAGGCUUAACACAUGCAAGUCGAGCGGGCGUAGCAAUACGUCAGCGGCAGACGGGUGAGUAACGCGUGGGAACGUACCUUUGGUUUGGAACAACACAGGGAAACUUGUGCUAAUACCGGAUAAGCCCUUACGGGGAAAGAUUUAUCGCCGAAAGAUCGGCCCGCGUCUGAUUAGCUAGUUGGUGAGGUAACGGCUCACCAAGGCGACGAUCAGUAGCUGGUCUGAGAGGAUGAUCAGCCACAUUGGGACUGAGACACGGCCCAAACUCCUACGGGAGGCAGCAGUGGGGAAUAUUGGACAAUGGGCGCAAGCCUGAUCCAGCCAUGCCGCGUGAGUGAUGAAGGCCCUAGGGUUGUAAAGCUCUUUUGUGCGGGAAGAUAAUGACGGUACCGCAAGAAUAAGCCCCGGCUAACUUCGUGCCAGCAGCCGCGG